CUAGAACGUGACUCCAAUGUGGGAGGACUCUGUCUCAUUCACUGUGGGCUCACUGCAGGGAGGACUCCAAGCAGAGCUGAGACUGCGACAGAACUCCAGCUGCUGUUAAAGCUCCAGAAGGUUUCCCACAAUAGCCCUGGGAGAAUGGAGCCUGAAGGAGGCAGUGAGGAAGAUUGUCCCUGAGCUAACAUCUGUGCCAAUCUUCCUCUGUUUGUAUGUGGGACGCCUCCACAGCACGGCCUGAUGAGUGGUGUGUAGGUCCACUCCCAGGAUCUGAACCUGCAAACCUCGGGCCGCCGAAGCGGACGGAGCGUGUGAACUUAACCACUACACCACCGGGCCAGCCCCGAGGAAACACUUUUUAGCUGAACAGCAUAAAGACAACUUUUCCUGUCUCAGCUG
rnacentral:lncRNA from 1 species